UACGUAGGGAGCAAGCGUUGUCCGGAAUCAUUGGGCGUAAAGAGCGCGUAGGCGGUCCGGUAAGUCGGUUGUGAAAACUGGGGGCUCAACCCUCAGAGGCCGACCGAUACUGCCGGGCUAGAGUCCGGAAGAGGCGAGUGGAAUUCCUGGUGUAGCGGUGAAAUGCGCAGAUAUCAGGAGGAACACCAAUGGCGAAGGCAGCUCGCUGGGACGGUACUGACGCUGAGGCGCGAAAGCUAGGGGAGCGAACAGG
rnacentral:rRNA from 1 species